GCGGUUAUACCAAGUGAUUAAGUUAUAUUGAUAGGUAAAAAGACAGUUAGGUUUAAGGUAUACAAAAAUCAAGUUUAUUAAACAUCUAUAAAAAAGUAAAAUUUGCAUAUGGAUAGCUAAUCUAAAAAUAACUAAUUAAUAACGCUGAAGCUGUGAUAAUCUUGAGGGAAACUGGGAUUAGAUACCCCAUUAUUCUUGAUUGUAAAUAUAAUUAAAUUUACCAGAGUACUAUGAACAGUUAAAAAUUUAAAACUCAAAGGGCUUGGCGGUGUUUUAGACCUAUCAGGGGAACCUGUCUCAUAAUCGACAAUCCACGUAAUAUCUAACCUUAUUUUGUAAUCAGUUUGUAUACCGUCGUCGUCAGGUAACUUUUAAAAAUAUAGAAGUUAGCAGUUAAAAUUAAUAUGAAUUAAGACGUCAGAUCAAGGUGCAGCCUAUAAUAAGGAGAGGAUGGGUUACAAUUAUAAGAAUUAUAACUACGAAAAUUUAAAUGAAUAUUUAUUUAGAAGGAGGACUUGAAAGUAAACUAGAAUACAUAAAUAGUUUGAAUAAGGCUCUG
rnacentral:rRNA from 1 species